AAUUUUGCGCAAUGGGCGAAAGCCUGACGCAGCAACGCCGCGUGAAUGUUAAGCCCCUCGGGGUGUAAAGUUCUGUCAGUGGGGACGAAACUUGACGGUACCCACAGAGGAAGCACCGGCUAACUCCGUGCCAGCAGCCGCGGUAAUACGGAGGGUGCAAGCGUUGUCCGGAAUCAUUGGGCGUAAAGAGUUUGUAGGUGGCAUGUUAAGUCUGGUGUUAAAGCCCGAAGCUCAACUUCGGUUCGGCACUGGAUACUGGCAAGCUAGAAUGCGGUAGAGGUAAGGGGAAUUCCCAGUGUAGCGGUGAAAUGCGUAGAUAUUGGGAGGAACAUCGGCGGCGAAAGCGCCUUACCGGGCCGUUAUUGACACUGAGAAACGAAAGCCGGGGUAGCAAAUGGG
rnacentral:rRNA from 1 species